rnacentral:rRNA from 1 species
CACGUAGGGCGCAAGCGUUGUCCGGAAUUAUUGGGCGUAAAGAGCUCGUAGGCGGUCUGUUGCGUCCGCUGUGAAAACUCGGGGCUUAACCCCGAGCCUGUAGUGGAUACGGGCAGACUAGAGGUAGGUAGGGGAGAAUGGAAUUCCCGGUGUAGCGGUGAAAUGCGCAGAUAUCAGGAGGAACACCGGUGGCCGAAGGCGGCAUCCUGGACCGACAUUGACGCUGAACGGCGAAAGCUAGGGGAGCAAACGGG